rnacentral:rRNA from 1 species
AAGGCUUACCAGGUCUUGACAUCCUUUGACCACUCUAGAGAUAGAGCUUCCCCUUCGGGGGCAAAGUGACAGGUGGUGCAUGGUUGUCGUCAGCUCGUGUCGUGAGAUGUUGGGUUAAGUCCCGCAACGAGCGCAACCCUUAUUGUUAGUUGCCAUCAUUCAGUUGGGCACUCUAGCAAGACUGCCGGUGACAAACCGGAGGAAGGUGGGGAUGACGUCAAAUCAUCAUGCCCCUUAUGACCUGGGCUACACACGUGCUACAAUGGGAAGUACAACGAGUUGCGAAGUCGCGAGGCUAAGCUAAUCUCUUAAAGCUUCUCUCAGUUCGGAUUGCAGGCUGCAACUCGCCUGCAUGAAGCCGGAAUCGCUAGUAAUCGCGGAUCAGCACGCCGCGUCCCC